ACCGUAGUCUAAUGGAUAGAACGCAGGACUCCGACUCCUGUAAUGUGGGUUCGACUCCCGCCGGUUGC
rnacentral:tRNA from 1 species